GCCAGGUGUGGUGGUUCACACCUGUAAUCCCAGCUCUUUGGGAGGCUGAGAUGGGAGGAUCACCUGAGGUCAGGAGUUCCAGACCAGCCUGACCACAAUGGAGAAACCCCAUCUCUA
ensembl:misc_RNA Metazoa_SRP Metazoan signal recognition particle RNA